rnacentral:rRNA from 1 species
UACGAAGGGGGCUAGCGUUGCUCGGAAUCACUGGGCGUAAAGGGUGCGUAGGCGGGUCUUUAAGUCAGGGGGGAAAUCCUGGAGCUCAACUCCAGAACUGCCUUUGAUACUGAAGAUCUUGAGUUCGGGAGAGGUGAGUGGAACUGCGAGUGUAGAGGUGAAAUUCGUAGAUAUUCGCAAGAACACCAGUGGCGAAGGUGGCUCACUGGCCCGAAACUGACGCUGAGGCACGAAAGCGUGGGGAGCAAACAGG